AGCUCAGCUGGUUCAGAGCAUCUGCCUUACAAGCAGAGGGUCGGCGGUUCGAAUCCGUCA
rnacentral:tRNA from 1 species